AUUGAAGCUGCUUUCCUUUUGUUUAUGUAAAACCCUAGUUUUCGUUUGCAGGCAAAGUUUGUAUCUGAUUAAUUGGUGCAGUGGUCAGUGAUGCAGAUAUCAUAACUAGCUGAAAUGCGACUUUUCGCAUUUUUGUUGAAAAUUUUGAACUAGGACGGUCUGAGGCUACUGAAUCCGAUUUAAAAUAAUGAUUUCUUUUUGUUAUUGAAUUUUUUUGUGUUUUGAUGUUUAUCAUUCCUAUGAUUUGUUACCGGCUGUCAGUCUUCGAUCUAUGCAGCGCUGUGGAUGAUGAGAAGUAUCAAAUUUACAGUUAUCCCUGGCUGAUCUAGCAGGUGAUGAAAAUUUGUAAUCUGACGCAGUCUUUGCUUCCAAGAAAUAGGUGUUUUUGUUCGUGGUUUCAAAAUUCCUAUGUACUAUUUCAAUUAGUAUUGAAUAAUAACUUUAUAUUUCUAAUAUUAACU
rnacentral:sRNA from 1 species